rnacentral:hammerhead_ribozyme from 1 species
AUCCAGCUGACGAGUCCCAAAUAGGACGAAACGCGC